rnacentral:lncRNA from 1 species
AAAUCGGACCCAAUCACCACCCUCCAUCCGGCCCUGGCCGGAGGCGAGGGGAGGACUGCACUGCGAGUUGAGUUUACGACUCGCGGUCCGGUAGACCCUUGCCUGCCGGCAGGUGGACGCGGGCUCAGCGCCAAGGCGUCCUGCCCGGAGUGGGGCGGUGAGGAAGACCCUGGGACGCGCCUCCCCAAGGGUUUGUGGCCCCCCGCGAAAACCAGAACGGAAGGCUGGCGGACGCCUUCGCUCUCGUGGUCCUGCCAGGGCCCAAGAUUCAAGCAUUGUGGGUGGGGUGGGUGGGAGGCCUUGCUAGCGCUGGGGUGGGGUCAUUGGUGGUUUCUGGGAAAGGGAACCAGCCAUCUAGGAACUCCUUUGUGCCUUGUGAACGCACCUGUUUUCAUUUCCCUCCAAAAUUCGGGAGUGCCCAACUUCCUCACCCAGCACCUCAAGAAACUCCCAAACCUUGGCACCUUUCUCGCUCCUACCCCUCCGUGGCUCCCACGAAUGCACCGCCCUCUUCCCCGCAGUCACCCCCCUGGGACCUCGGCUCCCGGGCCUUCGCCCUUCCCGGUCGGCGUCGGCAGCUGGGAGCAGGGGGCGGGGAAGAGGGGCAGGAGCCGCAAAGAGCUGACAAUUUACUGGUUCAUCAAUGAAACAAUAUUAAAUUAUGAAGAUGUAAGGAAAAAAUCCUCCGCUAACAUUGUUGCAGUUUGAAAGGUAAGCUGUUCCCUAUGAGAUUAGGAGACCCGAAUGCGCUUUUAAGAUUUCCAUAACCUAAUGUCAUGCGAUGCACAUUAGGGGGCUCAGUGGCCUCUUGACAUCUUUGACUACAGGCGUGGUGAUGGCAAGCACUUCAUCAGCAUCAAAUGAAGAGGCUCUGAUGUUUUCCUCAGUCUGUCUUGUAAAAUGCAAAAAUAUCAUUUUUAAUGCUUUUAAAGUGUUUUAUUUUCUGGGAUAGUCUGACAAAUUGGACUUCACUGGGUGUGUGUGUGCAGUGAUCACAUGAUUUCUUUUUAAAGAUGUUGCCCUCGUUUCCAUUGAUUCUCUAAGUUGCUGUCAUGGUUGGACUGUUUGUUAAUCCUCAUCUUUUGGUGGUAUACAGGAAGGAAAAUAUGAGUUUUCUUAUGCUAAGAUAGGAACCCACCUUUUUCUGAUUCUAUAUAUUCUGUGCACUUAAACUUCUUGAUGUGAUGUUAGUUUCCAAUUGAGUCCCCAGUUCUUUUCAAGAAUAUGAAGAGGUUGAGGUGACUUCACCCCGUUUUUGCGGGAAGAUUAUAGUAGCUUUCCAGGUACUGGUCACCUGGACCUAAGUCCCUCCCUUGGAUGCAUGAAUGCUGCUGUGAUGACUGUCAUGUGAGAGUCAUAGUGUGGAGGGGUUCUUUUAGCCGACAGAACCUGUGCUUCCAUCAGACACUCACGUGGAUGUGUAACUCAGACGAAAGGAAGAGGCACGGGCUCCUAUGAGACAGAUCAGUCACUCACUGGUUACCCCGAGUACCCACUGCAGUGUCAUGCAAAGAGCGGCUGAGUAGCAUUCCACAGGCCAGUGGUACACCAUGCAGGUGGGCAGGAUUUGGUGUGCGCUCACUGCCCAGGGUGCUUUUAUCCAUCGUGCUUGCAACUAAACGGUCUGGAUCCAGUCAGAUUUCUGAACAGCAUUUGGCAGACUCCUGCUUCAGUGUGGCACUUUAGGAGUUGAAUUACCUUUUUCAUGGUACCCAAGUUGCCUAAUUUGAAAAUUGAGAAUAAUUUAGGCGGUGGGAGAAUAUGCUUCCUUGUUUGAAGUGGAUUGGAAUGAAUUUGCUGUUCUCUUUGCUCUCUCUGCUCAAACUAUCCUAAAAUGGAGUGCUUGCCCCAGCCAUUCAGUUAGAAAAGCUUGGGAGAUCAUCUGCUGUUUUGUAUAGCAUCAGUUUGAUCUUAAAUAUUGAUAGUACUUAAAUGUACUUACAGGUGUGUCUUGCUUUAAGAAAACUUGGAUGUUCUUCAAAUUCAUGCUUACUAUGCCGUUGUGAGAAGGGGCAACUGUUUGCACACUAAAAAUAGCUUGACUUUAUACAACAAUUUAUCACACGAUUCCUUUAAAUAACCUGCUCUCUUAGAGCAUUUAAAAUAUGAUUUGAUUUGAAAAAAAAAAAUCGAUGGCUACUCACUCAACUUUUCAGGACUAUAUCUGCUUUGUAAUGUAAGGCAGAGGAAGGCGAAAGUGAAACACAAGGAAUGGAGCUCAGAAGGAGCUGACCAGGACUUCAUUUUAAAUUAGGAAAGAAUUUCGUUUUCUAGAGUUUCCCAGGGAAAACACCUAUACCUUUAUCACCUCCAGAGUACAGAAGGAAAAAAAAAAAAAGUAAGCCCAUUUGGGUUUGGAAAAGAUAAAUCUGUUCCCUUGGCGGGUCGCAUUCUGCAUUCUGCGUGUGCGUGGAAGUGAGGUUUGCUUUGAUCCUGACUAUUAAAAGUUUAUUUUUAAACUCAGACUGGGCAGGAAUCCAGCGAUGCUCUUUCCCCUGCAGCACAUCCUGGGUUUCGGGUCCCCAGCCUGGCAGAAUGCAGCUAAGCAGCAGGAAGUAGUUGAAAAGUGUGGGGCCUUGAUGGGUGCUGAGCGAUAGCCACCCCCCUUCCUCUCCUUCAUUUUUGAAAUUCAAAUUGAAUGCAAUUUUCAGCUCAUUUGAGCCAGAAUAUACCGUUGCUGAGCUUCAGUGGCUCUUAAAUUCAAACUCACAGGAGAAAACAGAUCUCAUCUGUCACAGGGGGUGGGAGAGAGAACACUCCCCGCAUUUUAUUCAUGGGAGGCAGAGCUCUGGUAACUAAUUCAAACCUUUCUGACUAAUCGACUAAUCAUUCACCAGCAAACUUAUCAUCUAAUCAAUGAAACCUUGAAGACGCCCCUCUUAGGAAGUCUGGGAGCAGUGACUUCCCCCUCUAAAAAUAUAUUCCAUUCUAUUUUUGUAUGCUGGCAUUUUAGUACCAUUUUGGUAAACUGAGAUGGAAUAUUAUGAGAGUCUUUUUCCUGCCCUUCCUGACUGUUUUUAUUGUUUCCAUCUCGAAUGUCUUUGUCAAUGCUACUUAUUUAUGAGUAAAAAUUAGCAGAAACUUACUGCUGGCUAAGUUGGGCUCAAACGUUAAUAUUUUUUUUUUCUUAUCAGGCUGCAUAAAACCCAGCCUGACUUUUGGGAGCAAAUAUAAGUAUGAAUUAAAAGGGGAAGAGGUUCUUGAGUCUGGGAGCGUGGCUGUCGAUGGGAUGGGUGUGCAGGCUGGCUUGUGAAAUGUGCAUGCCGGGUGUGUGGCCAAGGAGUGCACAUGCGUUUGAAUAGGUGGUCAUGCAAAAUUGCUCCUCUGAUUCCAGAAAGAACGAGAUGGGGCAACUUUGAUUCUGAAAUGAAGGAUGUGUGUUUUGCCACUGAUGCUUUUUCUUGGCUGCUUUCGUAUAAGCCAAAGUUUCCACGGGAACAUGGCGGCCAUUAAUUUUCUCUCAGUUUUUCCCCUUAUAUUCUUGAGAUACAUAAGAGUACAAGUUAAUUAUGAUGUUAUUUUAAAGUCAGUAGGAAUAAAACAACUUGGUCCCCAAAUACUAUUAUAUCU